rnacentral:rRNA from 1 species
GACGAACCGAGCGAACGUUAUUCGGAAUCACUGGGCUUAAAGGGCGCGUAGGCGGUCACGCACGUCCGUUGUGAAAUCGCUCGGCUCAACUGGGCGGGGUCAGCGGAUACGGCGUGGCUGGAGCAAGCUAGGGGGCAAUGGAAUUCCCGGUGUAGUGGUGGAAUGCGUAGAUAUCGGGAGGAACACCAGUGGCGAAGGCGGUUGCCUGGAGCUUUGCUGACGCUGAUGCGCGAAAGCGUGGGGAGCGAUCCGG